AGGAAGCUAUCUUCCCUGUUGUUGUAGUCACCGUAAUUCUACUGCUAUGGCUUCGUUUCCUUGUUUUCUUUAAUUACUGAUUAAGCUGCUGCAGCUGUGGACUGUGACGAUCGAUUUUCCGAAAGAAUCGUUGCUGCUAUGAACUAUUUCAGCCCUGCCCUGGAAAAAUCCCAAAAAUGUUUUUGUUUCCAUCUAGCCACUGUUAUCGCGAUUGUUGAUGACAUCGCUGCUGCAGAGGGUCAUCGGCGUCACUGUUGCGGUUGCUGCCACAAAUUAGGAAUAAAAGGAACUAUUGCGUUAAAUUCUGCAAUUGCGACAUCGAGUGACACAGGUUUGAAGACGCAAUUUGAAGCUGC